UGGGGAAUAUUGGACAAUGGGGGCAACCCUGAUCCAGCCAUGCCGCGUGUGUGAAGAAGGCCUUUUGGUUGUAAAGCACUUUAAGCAGGGAGGAGAGGCUAAUGGUUAAUACCCAUUAGAUUAGACGUUACCUGCAGAAUAAGCACCGGCUAACUCUGUGCCAGCAGCCGCGGUAAUACAGAGGGUGCGAGCGUUAAUCGGAAUUACUGGGCGUAAAGCGAGUGUAGGUGGCUCAUUAAGUCACAUGUGAAAUCCCCGGGGCUUAACCUGGGAACUGCAUGUGAUACUGGUGGUGCUAGAAUAUGUGAGAGGGAAGUAGGAUUCCCAGGUGUAGCGGUGAAAAUGCGUAGAGAUCUGGAGGAAUACCGAUGGCGAAGGCAGCUUCCUGGCAUAAUAUUGACACUGAGAUUCGAAAGCGUGGGUAGCAAAACAGGAUUAGAUACCCUGGUAGUCCACGCCGUAAAACGAUGUCUACUAGCCGUUGGGGUCCUUGAGACUUUAGU
rnacentral:rRNA from 1 species